GAAACUAAAUGGCGCGAGGAAAAGGUUGGUAUAGCUUUCAUCUGCUCCCCACUCCAUAAUCUUUUUGCAUCUGCACUUCAUUUUAUAUUUUUUAAGAUGCAUAUUUCAGAUUGUCAUUUCUUCACUAUCAUGCAGCGGGACAAUAGUGUAUUAACAUGUCACCCUUUUAUUUUCGAAGAAACUUUUUUUACGGUCUGUUGUUGAAGACAAUCAUAGAAAUCUUUCUUAGAAAGACAAAAUAUCUGAAUUGUUGACAACAUUGUAUUUUUUGCUAUGUUAGAGAGAAUGGGCAUAGGAUAUUAGUUAUUAAGAAAUUAAGCCAUUUUGAAACAUCACUUUUGUGGAUGGCAUAUGUUUAUGAAAAUAUUAGAAAGUUAAAAUGAAAUCCAAGAGAAGUUCAAUACUGUAAUUGAGUUAUUGUUAUGGCACAAUAUUUUGAAACUGGUAUUUUGCCUACUCUUGUGAAGAUGUAUCUGCAGUGCCAUCAUAAUUUAAAGUUUGAAACAUAGAAUCAUGGCCAUCCGCCCAUCCCUACUGCCCUCUUAGCUACUUCUUAAUGAAACACGGUAAAGGUUCUUCCGUAGCUGUUUGUCUUCCCACUUUUUGAACACAAUGGUCACUUGAAGUAAGUAUUUUAAGAUGCUUUGUUUAGAUUGUUUUCUGACUGUUUAAGAUCAUAAGGCGCAAAUACAAAAAUAAUACUACAAAUGUUUGACCUAUGAAAAAUCUUUUGAACGAUAAUGAUGUAAGAAAUCCUAAAGAUUUUAGGACUA
rnacentral:misc_RNA from 1 species